rnacentral:rRNA from 1 species
GUGCCAGCCGCCGCGGUAAUACCGGCAGCCCAAGUGAUGGCCGUUAUUAUUGGGCCUAAAGCGUUCGUAGCCGGCCGGUCAAGUCCGUCGGGAAAUCCACUCGCUUAACGAGUUGGGCGUCCGGCGGAAACUGCACAGCUUGGGACCGGAAGGCUCGAAGGGUACGUUCGGGGUAGGAGUGAAAUCCCAUAAUCCCGCACGGACCACCGAUGGCGAAAGCACUUCGAGAAAACGGAUCCGACAGUGAGGGACGAAAGCCAGGGUCUCCAACCGGAUUAGAAACCCGGGUAGUCC